rnacentral:rRNA from 1 species
UCUUGGGCAAUGGGCGCAAGCCUGACCCAGCAACGCCGCGUGGAGGAUGAAGUCCCUCGGGAUGUAAACUCCGAAAGAAGGGGACGAAUAAGCAUGGGCUAAUACCCCGUGCGAUGACGGUACCCUUUGUAAGCCCCGGCUAACUACGUGCCAGCAGCCGCGGUAAUACGUAGGGGGCAAGCGUUGUUCGGAUUUACUGGGCGUAAAGCGCGCGUAGGCGGCACUGCAAGUCACUUGUGAAAUCUCCGGGCUUAACUCGGUAGGGGCCAAGUGAUACUGCAGAGCUAGAGUGCGGAAGAGGCAGCUGGAAUUCUCGGUGUAGCGGUGAAAUGCGUAGAUAUCGAGAGGAACACCGGUGGCGAAGGGGGGCUGCUGGGCCGACACUGACGCUGAGGCGCGAA